rnacentral:miRNA from 9 species
UGUAUGUCAACUGAUCCACAGU